UACGGGGGGGGCAAGCGUUGUUCGGAAUUACUGGGCGUAAAGGGCUCGUAGGCGGCCAACUAAGUCGGAUGUGAAAUCCCCAGGCUUAACCUGGGAACUGCAUCCGAUACUGGAUGGCUUGAAUUCGGGAGAGGGAUGCAGAAUUCCAGGUGUAGCGGUGAAAUGCGUAGAUAUCUGGGGGAAUACCGGUGGCGAAGGCGGCAUCCUGGACCGACAUUGACGCUGAGGAGCGAAAGCUAGGGGAGCAAACGGG
rnacentral:rRNA from 1 species